AACAUUAUCUACAACAUAUGCCAAGCAAGAUCUAUAGGCAUUAGAUAGAUUCAACCCACCUCACACAACCAAAAAUAAUAGUUAUUGUCAGACCAUCCAACAAUAAACAUUACAAGGAUCAACAUGAAACAUCAAAGACUAUCAUCAAUGUUAGAAGAACGAGCAAGAUUCACAGAUACUGUAAUCCAUUAUGUAAUCCAAGGUUAGACCUAUAAUAUCCUUGCUCGUAAAGGAAAGUAAACGACAUCCAAGUACAUGGAUAGACAUGUAGCAAAGAAAUCAUAAAAAAGGAG
rnacentral:lncRNA from 1 species